rnacentral:rRNA from 1 species
CAAUAGCGUAUAUUAAAGCUGUUGCAGUUAAAAAGCUCGUAGUUGGAUCCUAGUCUUCUGGGCGGGCGGUCCGCCUCGCUGGUGGACGUCUGCGUCGCCCAGGUCUGAGUUGCUGGGGAGGAUCCUGGUGCCCUUCACCGGGUGCCGGGGUCUGCCCGCAAGUUUUACUUUGAAAAAUCAGAGUGCUCAAAGCAGGCCGUCAGAGCCUGAAUGCAAUUUCAUGGAAUAAAUGAACAAGACCUCCGUUCUGUUGGGUUCCAGUUCUGGAGGUAAUGAUCAAGAGGGCCUGACGGGGGCAUACGUAUUGCAGGGCGAGAGGUGAAAUUCAGUGACCCUUGCAAGACGAACUAAAGCGAAAGCAUUUGCCAAGAAUGGUUUCCUCGAUCAAGAACGAAAGUCGGAGGAUCGAAGAUGAUUAGAUACCGU